rnacentral:piRNA from 1 species
UCUUUCAGGCCAAACUAGAGGAACUCUCCA